rnacentral:lncRNA from 1 species
UGUAUACGUGUGUGUGUGCGUGUGUGUAUGCGUGUGUGUGUGUGCGCGUGCAUGCGUGCGUGUGUGUGUGUGUGUGCGCGCGUGUGCGUGCGUGCGUGCGUGUGCAUAUGUGUACGUGUGCGUGUGUGUGUGUGUGCGUGUGUGUCCGUGUGCGUGUGUGCGCGUGCGUGUGUGCAUGCGCGUGCACGUGUGCGUGUGUAUGCAUGUGUGUGUGUGUGUGUGGCGGGUAAAAAAAGAAGUGAUAAGAACAAGAAAGGAAAAGAAAAAAAUAAUCAGUAGAGAGAGAGAAACAAAGAAAGAAAAUAUGGAAGAGAUACGUAGAAAGAGAAGGAAA